rnacentral:rRNA from 1 species
UACGUAGGCAGCAAACGUUGUUCGGAAUUACUGGGCGUAAAGAGUGUGUAGGCGGUUCUGUAAGUUUGGUGUGAAAUCUCCUGCUUAACUGGGAGGGUGCGCCGAAAACUGCAAGGCUUGAGUACUGGAGAGGAUAGCGGAAUUCCUGGUGUAGCGGUGAAAUGCGUAGAUAUCAGGAGGAACACCGGCGGUGUAGACGGCUGUCGUGGACAGUGAACUGACGCUGAGACACGAAAGCGUGGGGAGCAAACAGG